GGGUGCUGCUGAGGGCAUGAACUCGUCGUUGUGUGGGAGACGGAGUCAGACUCUUCACCACACCCGUUUCUUUGGAAAGAAACUGCGUAUGGGGUAUGUGUAUAUAUAUGCGUGCGCACUAGUUACUGGGGCUCAAAUUCAGAGCCCCUGGCACUGUUUCUUGAGCCACAUCUCCACUGAUGUCUCUUUUUGGUAGUUAAUUAGAGAUAAAAGUCCCACAGGUUUAUCUCUUCAGAGUAACUUUGAACCUUGAUCUUUAGAUCUCAACGUCCUGAGUUGCUAGGAUUACAGGCUUGAGCCACCGGUGCCAGGCUUCUUUUGGGUUUUCUAUAUACAUGUAUAUGAGCAUAGGUAGAAUUGCCAGUAAAUGCUUUUCAAGUCUUGCAACCCGUACAGGGGAGGAAAGAGUGUUUCUGGAGAUAUGGCAGAUAGAACCUGGAAUCUUUAGCUUGAUGGUAAGAGUGUAAAUUAGCAGACAAAAUAUACUUUUUUGGAAGGGAAGAGAAGGGACCUAACUUUGAGCACCCACCAGAAUGCUGUAUUAGAUAUCUUUCUCACCACCACAACUGAGUUAAGUAGGUGGGUACUACAAUGUUUUCAGAAGAAUUGUGCAAGGUAAUUUAGCAAAUAUCCUGGGGCUUGAACUCAGGGCCUGGGCACUGUCCCUGAG